rnacentral:rRNA from 1 species
UACGUAGGGGGCAAGCGUUGUCCGGAAUCAUUGGGCGUAAAGAGCGCGUAGGCGGUCCGGUAAGUCAGCUGUGAAAGUCAGGGGCUCAACCCUUGAAAGCCGGUUGAUACUGUCGGGCUAGAGUCCGGAAGAGGCGAGUGGAAUUCCCGGUGUAGCGGUGAAAUGCGCAGAUAUCGGGAGGAACACCAAUGGCGAAGGCAGCUCGCUGGGACGGUACUGACGCUGAGACGCGAAAGCGUGGGGAGCAAACAGG